GUGAAUCAUCGAAUUUUUGAACGCAAAUUGCACUCUUCGGUUUUCCGGGAGAGUAUGCCUGUUUGUGGGUCUGUUUAAAAACUAAUUGAGGCUGCUGCUGUGGCGGCGCUUCGGAAUUGGGUCAUGUUUCACCUUUCGGCGUUGUAAGCGACCUAAAAUUUUUCUUACGAUUUCUACGAACGUGUCUAAGAAUUUUUCUUGUACGUUCGCGACAUCGAAAUCAUACUAUGGGCGAC
rnacentral:misc_RNA from 1 species